rnacentral:rRNA from 1 species
GAGUAAUGUCUGGGAAACUGCCUGAUGGAGGGGGAUAACUACUGGAAACGGUGGCUAAUACCGCAUAACGUCGCAAGACCAAAGAGGGGGACCUUCGGGCCUCUUGCCAUCAGAUGUGCCCAGAUGGGAUUAGCUUGUUGGUGAGGUAACGGCUCACCAAGGCGACGAUCCCUAGCUGGUCUGAGAGGAUGACCAGCCACACUGGAACUGAGACACGGUCCAGACUCCUACGGGAGGCAGCAGUGGGGAAUAUUGCACAAUGGGCGCAAGCCUGAUGCAGCCAUGCCGCGUGUAUGAAGAAGGCCUUCGGGUUGUAAAGUACUUUCAGCGGGGAGGAAGGUGUUGUGGUUAAUAACCGCAGCAAUUGACGUUACCCGCAGAAGAAGCACCGGCUAACUCCGUGCCAGCAGCCGCGGUAAUACGGAGGGUGCAAGCGUUAAUCGGAAUUACUGGGCGUAAAGCGCACGCAGGCGGUCUGUCAAGUCGGAUGUGAAAUCCCCGGGCUCAACCUGGGAACUGCAUUCGAAACUGGCAGGCUUGAGUCUUGUAGAGGGGGGUAGAAUUCCAGGUGUAGCGGUGAAAUGCGUAGAGAUCUGGAGGAAUACCGGUGGCGAAGGCGGCCCCCUGGACAAAGACUGACGCUCAGGUGCGAAAGCGUGGGGAGCAAACAGGAUUAGAUACCCUGGUAGUCCACGCCGUAAACGAUGUCUACUUGGAGGUUGUGCCCUUGAGGCGUGGCUUCCGGAGCUAACGCGUUAAGUAGACCGCCUGGGGAGUACGGCCGCAAGGUUAAAACUCAAAUGAAUUGACGGGGGCCCGCACAAGCGGUGGAGCAUGUGGUUUAAUUCGAUGCAACGCGAAGAACCUUACCUGGUCUUGACAUCCACAGAAGAAUCCAGAGAUGGAUUUGUGCCUUCGGGAACUGUGAGACAGGUGCUGCAUGGCUGUCGUCAGCUCGUGUUGUGAAAUGUUGGGUUAAGUCCCGCAACGAGCGCAACCCUUAUCCUUUGUUGCCAGCGGUUAG